rnacentral:rRNA from 1 species
UAGGGAAUCUUCCGCAAUGGGCGAAAGCCUGACGGAGCAACGCCGCGUGAGUGAAGAAGGAUUUCGGUUCGUAAAGCUCUGUUGUUAGGGAAGAAUGAUUGUGUAGUAACUAUACACAGUAGAGACGGUACCUAACCAGAAAGCCCCGGCUAACUACGUGCCAGCAGCCGCGGUAAUACGUAGGUGGCAAGCGUUGUCCGGAAUUAUUGGGCGUAAAGCGCGCGCAGGUGGUUUAAUAAGUUUGAUGUGAAAGCCCCCGGCUCAACCGUGGAGGGUCCUUGGAAAACUUUAAAACUGGAGGCCGGGGGGAAAAAGGGAAAUUCUAGUGUAGCGGUGAAAUGCGUAGAGAUUAGGAGGAGCACCAGUGGCGAAGGCGGCUUUUUGGCCUGUAACUGACACUGAGGCGCGAAAGCGUGGGGAGCAAACAGGAUUAGAUACCCUGGUAGUCCACGCCGUAAACGAUGAGUGCUAAGUGUUGGUCUCAUAAGAGAUCAGUGCUGCAGCUAACGCAUUAAGCACUCCGCCUGGGGAGUACGACCGCAAGGUUG